rnacentral:rRNA from 1 species
GACGAACCGUGCGAACGUUGUUCGGAAUUACUGGGCGUAAAGCGCACGUAGGCGGACUGUUAAGUCGGGGGUGAAAUCCUGGGGCUCAACCUCAGAAUUGCCUCCGAUACUGGCAGUCUCGAGUGCGGGAGAGGUGAGUGGAAUUCCCAGUGUAGAGGUGAAAUUCGUAGAUAUUGGGAAGAACACCAGUGGCGAAGGCGGCUCACUGGCCCGUAACUGACGCUGAGGUGCGAAGGCGUGGGGAGCAAACAGG